rnacentral:rRNA from 1 species
CCUACGGGCGGCAGCAGUCGAGAAUUAUUCACAAUGGGGGAAACCCUGAUGGUGCGACGCCGCGUGGGGGAAUGAAGGUCUUCGGAUUGUAAACCCCUGUCAUGUGGGAGCAAAUUAAAAAGAUAGUACCACAAGAGGAAGAGACGGCUAACUCUGUGCCAGCAGCCGCGGUAAUACAGAGGUCUCAAGCGUUGUUCGGAAUCACUGGGCGUAAAGUGUGCGUAGGCUGUUUCGUAAGUCGUGUGUGAAAGGCGCGGGCUCAACCCGCGGACGGCACAUGAUACUGCGAGACUAGAGUAAUGGAGGGGGAACCGGAAUUCUCGGUGUAGCAGUGAAAUGCGUAGAUAUCGAGAGGAACACUCGUGGCGAAGGCGGGUUCCUGGACAUUAACUGACGCUGAGGCACGAAGGCCAGGGGAGCGAAAGGGAUUAGAUACCCUAGUAGUC